rnacentral:rRNA from 1 species
UAGCGAAAUUCCUUGUCGGGUAAGUUCCGACCCGCACGAAAGGCGUAAUGAUUUGAGCACUGUCUCGACAAUGCAUCCGGUGAAAUUGAAGUACCAGUGAAGAUGCUGGUUACCCGCGCCAGGACGGAAAGACCCCAUGGAGCUUUACUCCAGUUUGAUACUGGGAUUCGGUACUGUCUGUACAGGAUAGGUGGGAAGCUAGGAAAUGAUGACGCCAGUUGUCAUGGAGCUGACCUUGGGAUACCACCCUUACAGUACUGGGUUUCUAACCUGCAGCCGUGACCCGGCUGGGGGACAAUGUCUGACGGGGAGUUUGACUGGGGCGGUCGCCUCCGAAAGGGUAUCGGAGGCGCUCAAAGGUUCCCUCAGAAUGGUCGGAAACCAUUCGAAGAGUGCAAAGGCAGAAGGGAGCUUGACUGCGACACCGACGGGUGGAGCAGGUACGAAAGUAGGACUUAGUGAUCCGGUGGUAUAAAGUGGGAUUGCCAUCGCUCAACGGAUAAAAGCUACCCUGGGGAUAACAGGCUUAUCACUCCCAAGAGUUCACAUCGACGGAGUGGUUUGGCACCUCGAUGUCGGCUCAUCGCAUCCUGGGGCUGUAGCAGGUCCCAAGGGUUGGGCUGUUCGCCCAUUAAAGCGGUACGCGAGCUGGGUUCAGAACGUCGUGAGACAGUUCGGUCCCUAUCCGGCGUGGGCGUAGGAUAUUUGAGAGGAGCUGUCCUUAGUACGAGAGGACCGGGAUGGACGGACCGCUGGUGUAUCUGUUGUUGACCAACAGCAUGGCAGAGUAGCCAAGUCCGGCAGGGAUAAACGCUGAAGGCAUCUAAGCGUGAAGCCCCCCUCAAGAUUAGAUAUCCCAUUCUUUAAAGAAAUAAGACCCCUUGAAGACUACGAGGUUGAUAGGUCUGAGGUGUAAGUGCGGUAACGCAUUCAGCUGACAGAUACUAAUAGGUCGAAGACUUAUCCUG